AACAAAACGCUUACAUGUUAACUCACACAACGACAAUGAAAUCCAAAUGUCGCACGUCAACAAAAGAAAUAAUAGCAAACUGCUAACGCGAAACACGCUCAUCGCAAUUCAAAAAAAUUAUAAAAACCAAUGCUAAUGAUUUUAACAUUUAGACUUGGUUUCAACAUAAGGAAAAUGAAAACAGAAACACAAUGUAACUCAAUAAAUUUUUACAAUAUUACAACAAAAGGAAAAAAAUCCAACAGAGUCACGACAUACGAAUCACGUCAAACACACGAAACAUUCAGAUCCGAUCUCAAUGUGACAAGAAAACAAAAAGCAUCACACACACAGUCCCAAAUUAUUUACAUCAUCUCAGAGUGUUUACAACAUCCAAAAUAAAAAAUCCAGCAUACACAGCGGAGCUGAACGCAAUCGACUCGAAAUUUAAAUAUAUGAUAAAACAAC
rnacentral:lncRNA from 1 species